UCAAUUUGAUCCUGGCUCAGGAUGAACGCUAGCGGCAGGCUUAACACAUGCAAGUCGAGGGGCAGCAUAAUGGAUAGCAAUAUCUAUGGUGGCGACCGGCGCACGGGUGCGUAACGCGUAUGCAACCUACCUUUAACAGGGGGAUAACACUGAGAAAUUGGUACUAAUACCCCAUAAUAUCAUAGAAGGCAUCUUUUAUGGUUGAAAAUUCCGAUGGUUAGAGAUGGGCAUGCGUUGUAUUAGCUAGUUGGUGGGGUAACGGCUCACCAAGGCGACGAUACAUAGGGGGACUGAGAGGUUAACCCCCCACACUGGUACUGAGACACGGACCAGACUCUACGGGAGGCA
rnacentral:rRNA from 1 species